CUGAAAUUGUGUCCUUCUGAAGUUCUUUUGUUGAAGUUCUAGUUCUAGUACCUCAGAAGAUGACCUUGUUUCAAGAAAGAGUAUUUGCAGAAGUAAUGAAGUGAAAGUGGCUUCAUCAGGGUGGGCUCUAAUCUGAUAGGACUUGUGUCUUCAUGAAGAGGGGGCCUUUGGGCAUGGAGACACACAUAGACAGGGAAUGGUAUGAAGAACACAAGGAGGAGCUGGUCAUGCACAAGCCCAGGGCAAAGGCCCAGAGCCAAGACUUCUCUCAGGGGCCUGGAAAGGACCAGUCCUACCAGCAUCUUGACCUUGGGCUUUCAGCCUCCAGAACUGAGACAGUAAUUUCUGCUGUUGAAGCUCCUGUUUUGUGGUACUUUGUUAUGGUUGCCGUGGUGAACUUGUACAAGGGAUGCCGCCAAUAAGCAGAUAGGAAUGAAUUUUUUUGUUUUUUUAGAAAAAGGGUUGUGAUAAGUGCUCUGGAGAAGAAGAUAGGCUGAAGAAAAAAAGUUGGGAAAGGGCUGCUUGGAGAUCACAUGAGGCAACUUUCACAGACCAGAAGGAAAUGAGACAGCAGCUGAAGCAGGCUUUAUCCUGGGCCCUGACAGCUCUCAGCUCAUAAUCUAGUGGGAAGAAGAGACAUAUAGCAACCAAACAGAUAAAUGUGUAUUAAAACUGCCAACAAGGAAACCAGAGAUCUUGGACACAGUGACAGAAAAACAAAUCCCACCAACACCAGAGGCAGCCAGGACCAGCUGACACCUUCAGGGCCACCUUUUGGGACCCUGAUAAGAAGACCCAGAUGACGGACCUCUGACCCACACAGAUCGUUAGGAAGCAAGCUGGCCUUGCAGGUUCAGCUUGUCGCAGGUGGUUAUGCACCGUGGAAAAGGACUGCAUAGAGGAUGGUCAAAGAGGGCCUCUCUGAGAGGCUGACCCCAACCUGAGAUGGAAGGUGAGGAGGAAUCAGGCCUGGGAAGAAGGAUGAGGAAAAAAGUUCCAGAUGAAGGACUCCAGUAGGAACCAAGCCGGAGCUCUAGUCUUCGCCUUCACCUUGGACAUCAUCUCCUGGCUUCCAGCGCAGACUCUUCAGCUUCUGGCCCAGAUCUUUCAGCUUUCUGGUGACAUAGACUCUUCAGCCUUCCAGUGUAGUCUCAUUGGCCUCCUGAUACAGACUUACAUGGGACACUGCAGUGAGCUCCAGACCUUCGACUAAAUCCUCAGGUUUCCAGCAUGCAAACAGACCCUCUGCACUCUUUCUCAUCCGACUCUAGCCCUAGAGGCAGAGAAGAUGCAGGCCAUCAUGCCCAUUUCACAGACAGAGAAGCCGACAUCCUGAACAGGUGGAUCAGCCUAGAAAAGGAAGCACAACCUUGUGUGACAUUACCAUGGAAGUUUCACUUAGUACGUAUGUGUUUAAUGAAUAUAAUGAAGGAGCAGUUUUAUUCCUAGUGUCAGGUAUGUAAUCACACACCUAUAUGUUUAUUCAUUCUUUUGUUAAAAUCACUAAAUUUUAACAUUCAUCAGAGAAGUUUUCAGUUUUCUAUUGCUGUAUGCCAAAAAGCCUAAAAUAUAGUGGCUUAAAACCAAUAAUUUAUUAUUUCUCAUGAGUUUGUGAGCUAGGAAAUUGGGCAUAGCUCAGCAAGGGUGGUUCUUCUGGUCCACGUGGUGUCACAAAAGUCUCUCAAGCUCAUUAUGCUGGAAGUUGCGGACAGCUGUGUGGUGGUUAAUAGUUUGUGUCAACUGGGCUGGACUCUGUUGCCCAGACACUCUGUCACAUGUUAUUCUGAUGUUCUAUGAGGGUGUUUUUGGAUGGAAGUGACAUUUAAAUUGUUGAACUUUGAGCAAAGCUAGUUGCUUUCCAUAA
ensembl:lncRNA